ensembl:lncRNA
GAUUUUUUCUAAACACCGGGUCUCUGUGGCUUUUAAACCCCAAAACACGCUGCGCCAAAAACUGGUCCACCCCAAGGAUCAGAGUAACAGAGUAACAUAGUGUACGCUGCUAAGUGCAGGAGGAUUGCCAGGAUUUACAUAUCGGGGAAACCAAACAACCUUUGGCUACAACACAGCAGAGCCACCUCGUCAGGCCAGGACUCUGCAGUCUAUUUACACCUGCAGGCCAGUGACACUCUUUCAAUGAUGAGGAUGUAACAUCCUGGACAGGGAGGAACGCUGGUUUGAAGGCGGAGUCAAGGAGGCCAUUUAUGUGAAAAGGGAAAGACCAUCUCUGAAUUGAGGAGGGGGCCUAAGGGUACAUCUGUCACCAUCUUACAUGCUGUGAUUGCAGCCAUUCCCCAACUCUCUGUGAAUGGUACUCAUGGUUAUUGAUCAGUGGGUUUUGAUCAGUGGUUGUUGAUCAAUGGUCAUGAGAAUCUGCAUGAUUAAGAUUAAGGAACUGACCUCCCAGCCCAUCGUUCCUUCAGUGGGCUGGUUUCAGUCAUUAUGCAAAUGUCCUGUUUAUAAGAUUGAAAGCUGCAGUCAGCUGAGACUGAAGGAGUCACCUGGUGAUGACGAAACGUUUCUCCCACAAAACGCAAAAAUACACAGUGCUCAUCCUUUAAUAAACACACUCUUCACCAACCUUACAAGGCGAGUUGUGUUCAUACAACCUGUAACGUUACUUUGAGUUAGGAGAUAAAGAUAUGAGGUCCAUCUCAGUCCAUACGUCCAUGUGCAAGCACACUUCUCCCACACUACAGAGAGCAGUGGCGCACACUUGUGACAUCAUUAACAUUAACUUAAGUUGUCUUAAAGAGACACCACACAAUUGUGACUGUUACACACAGCAUCUGCCUAACAUGGUGGAGCCAGCAUCGUGCCAGUGAAACUGGGUCACUGACAACGUGACUGCUGAUAGAAGCAGCAGAAUUCAUUGUGAAGUGUGCAGCGCUUUAUUCUCUGCUCAGACCUAACCAAACGAUGCUCAGACAGAAAAUGAUCAGACAGCACUAACAGUGCAAACAGAUUAGGACCCAAAUCAUACUGAAAAAGCAACCCAACAGUUUCUCAAGGUAAAAGAAACGGGACGUUCUUCCAUGCCCAAGUCUCACAUGUCUCAACCCAGCAAGCACCAAAUCACAACAGCCACCUCAAGGAGCUUUAGGUGUUAAGGUAAAGACCCUGAAACAUAGAGAGCAAGCCCCAACAGUCAGCCGACGAGGAGAACAGGGCUCAGGGACUGACAGCCAUCUGUUGCAACCAGCAGGGGGUAGGAGAGAGAGCCAGAGCUCAGGACACACUGUGGAAGAGGGCCACAGUUUCAUAAUAACUGAGGAUUAAAUCCAAAGUGGUAUGUCAGCACAUAGAGGGAAAUCUAUUUUUGUCUUGAGUAAAGAUCAAGCUGAGCAACUCAAAGGAAACAACAUUUGCUGAUGUCCAUUGUUUCUAGACUUCAAGCAGACAUUGGUUGAAAAAUGCAGUCCUUCGUUUUUUAAAGUGUCUUAAAAUUGAUGUUAAGACAUAAAUUUAUGUUAUCCCAGAAAUUUUGAACCUCUGAAAAUGGGGCUUUGCAAAACAAGUCAUUGAAUUUUUCUGUUAAACCCUUUAAAUUAGAGCUGACUGUCAGCUCAUCAAUCACAGUUUUUUUUAAUUUACAAUCCACUGUGGAGUUGUCCAAAGGCAAAACUUUGUCCCAAACAUUAUGAAGGGCGCUUUAGUAAUUUACUAAUUUUGGGUAACAUCAUCUUUAACCAGCAUUACCUUGGGAAUGUCAACAGCAGGAAUGGACAGGUCAAAUAUGGACAGGUUUAUGCUUUUUCUUUUAAACACAUGUUACUGAGUUCAUAUGUAACUGCUGCAAUACCAUUAUUAACUUCUUAAAAGGUAAGACAAAUUUAGGCUUGAGUACUUUCUUACAACAAUGCCAAACAAAAAUGCUAAUGUUUCAAAAAUACUUCGCUGAUGACUGUGCAGCUUACUGGCUUUGUAUAAAACAGAGACGAACGUUAUGAAAGUAAAAGUUUGCGUUAACAAAUGAUUUAGUAUAUUGUUACAUUUUUAAUGUCAAGUAGCCUUCAAGGAUCUUUUUCAAAGAUAAUAUUAGUUUGUGUACAGCUAGACCUCGCCCAAUAAAAUCACAACACUUUAAACACAAACUCGACUGCUUUUUAAUGCAAAAUGUUUCGAUCCACAAUGAGAAACAGCUUUAGUGUUACUUUUAUAGGCUAUUUAAGUGUGCUCUGCUGGAUGUGUUUGCAUGAUUGUCCUGAAAAGUGUUCUAAGGAAAAAUCUUUGGCUUUUGAAAUCAGCGCCAUCAUCAUAUAAAGUUUUUUUGGUCUAUUUUGUCUAAAAUGUUACUUUACCACCAAAUUCCAGCACAAAUGUGUUAAAUUUGGUAGAGUCUCACGUGUCUGUACUGCAUUAGUGCUUUAUCUACAGCAUAUUUCAUUUUUACGAGGAAGCUUUAUGGCCUAACUGUUCUUUAUAAUUCUUCACCGAACAGAAUUGAAAUUACAUCUGCAUCUCCACGUAUUAUAUCUCUAUUUCUCUAUUUAAAUGACCAAAUACAGAGAGAGAGUGAGACCAGGUAAAUAGUGUGUAUCUUUUUAGAAAUACACUUUCAUUUGUAAAAACUAGUUUCCUUGCCUUGGCAAGCUUUAAUCUUGACUCUGACUACCUUCUUCUUCUGGUAUGCAAAUAUACGUGAAAGGAUGACUGUGUCUGUUUUAUAAGAAAGAUAAAUCUUUAGUUUUACACAGAAUUCAUCCUGCUUUUUGAGUCGUCACAUCCUCAGCACAUUUCUAACAAGACAGGCAGUCAGCUUUUCACUCGAUAGGUUGUAACCAAAGAAAGUAUAUCCUCAGCUAAGCCAGUGUGCCAGAAGAGAGUAACGUUGACAGUAAGCAAUGCUUUCAGCCUGGCCAACCCUAUAAACGUCUGCCUCUUCUGCUGCUUCUCAGUCUUACUCAUAAACAAGACACUUUGUUGUUUACUGGUGAACAAAAUACUUUGUUACAAUGUGACUGCUGACUGCCGGUUAAUCCCGUAUUCCAUGUUUCCUCCACUUUUAAAUCAAAAUAACUGAAAUUUGUUUCCCAGCUGUGACUCAACCAACCACUAGUUUUCAUAAUGUACCAUAACUUUCUACUGCUGUUGUGUAAUGAGAAGUCAGUUUGUUAGGUUGAUUUUUGUAAUCACAAGAAGUCAUUGCAGGGAACAACUGAAAAAAACAACAAUAAGUUCAUUUUAUAGUCUUAAAUACACACUGAGACAUUCAAAUCUUUGAAGCAUAUAUUAAAUAAGUUGCUACGUAUUUUAAUCACAAUCAAAUAAACAUUUUGAUAAGCUUAAAUGUAUCUUUUAAUAGCAACUAGGGCUAGCUUAGGCAAAGAAAUGGAUCAAGCUUAGUUACUUUUUGUCAUAAAAAAAAAUAUAUGAACAAGGUGUUUGGCUCUGAAAAAAAUCGUGUAUUUAUUGGAAAGCGACUGCAGAGAAUGUGACCACAUUCAUUAGCAAACUGUGCAGCUCUGCAACAUGUUCCUCUCUACGUUGGUUAACAAGUUUAUUAGGCCUCCUGUCAGAAUAAGAACAAAACACAAAUAUUUAUAAAUCUGUCGAAACCUGUUUACAAAUAAAUUCAUAUUGUUAUUUAUAAUAAUAAACUAAAUUAACAUUUUUACACCCAAAACUAAUCCAGCACAUUGGACUUUCCUAAAAAGUCUAAAAUGAAUGAAUCAUAAUAUUCAACCAGUAAAACUUCUGUUCAGAAAUGCAAGAAAAAAAAUGUAAUUUGGCAACUAAAUAAAAAAGUGCAUAACAAUUAUUACCAUCAUUAUUAUUAUUUUGUUUUUUGUGUUAACCAGUAAAUUUGAAAACCCAUGGGUAACAACAUUAAUUAUAUUUUAACACUUAACAUAUAAUUCUGAUUACACAGCUUGUGCAUACUGGUGGACUGACCAGCACAGAAACACAGAAAACAAAUAAUUACCAAGACUUUGGUAUAAACGUGACAUUUGGUGGUCUAACAAAUUUGUUAUACACUCAAACUCACAAUUUGUUUAAAUGCAAACGUUUGGGGUGUUAAUUCACUGAUACUUUUACAGAUUUGGGCAUAACAUUAACAUGUUUUCCAUUUUGUGGUCCUCACACAUAACUUCAAACUGCACAUGUAGGAAAUGCAAAUGAAGCAGUUUUAUCAAUGCAAACACAAAAAGCUGCGUAGUGUUAGGCAAAGUUUGCAGAUCUCCACCUAAAACUUAUUUCCUUAUUAACAAACUAAAUCGACAUAAUCACAACAAUUUGGUUGCUGUUGAGAAAACAGCCAUGAUUCUUCGGUAUGCUAGCUUCUGUAAAAGACAGUGGUUGCACAGUCAAUACACACGAUUUUGUAUUUAGUUAUUUGCAGGAUCCUGUGCUUGGAGGUUAGAAAACUACAGAAACAUACACACAACCUAAGGGAUUUUCAUUGUCCAUGUUCCAGUGGUUCAUUGCUACUUUUGGACAAUUAGAUAUUUAAAAAGCCGUUUGUCAGUUUAAGAAUUACGACACUUUACAGCUGACACUGGCACAAAUCACCAGCAAGCACAAAUCAAAUGACAUAUUUAAUUGUUCGGACAAUAGGAACAAAAUAUUUUAAUAUCAAUUCAGUCAGCUUAAGAUUGGCUUCAGCACCUGUGCUGCUUUCAAGCCUGAGGAUAUGAAUUGGGGACAGUAUAUUAAACGACUAAGUCAUAGAUCAGACAGGCUUCCAUCGUUUUCAUGCCUUUUCUUUGCUUAGACUCAUUUACGCAGUAAAUACCACACAAAAAGAAUAUGUUCAGGCGAUUUCGUGCUCAUGACUGAGCCGUGUGUGCAACAGGAAAGCUGGAAAAAGUGCCAAAUUUCAUGCUGAACUGGUUAUCUGAAUGAAUUUAUGAAAGAGCGGCAAUUUUUGUUGUUGUUGUUGUUGUUGUUUUCAAUGCAAGACUUGUUUGAAAAUUCAUUUAAACUUUGCCUGGUUUGUUAAAUAACCUAUAAUAACCUAUUUAAUUUGAGGUCAGUUAUAUCACUUUGUCUUAAAGAUGUGAGGAUUGUUUACUUAGUAUACAAGUAAAUAAACAAAGACAAAGGCAUUAUAGGGCAAAGUAUUAUAUUAAUGUAUGUUUUAUGAAUUGCUGUAUAUGCCAUUAAGUUAGUGGGUAAGCAACAUGCACUUUAAUUGUCUUUGGCAAUAAUAGCUAAGCUCCCAUCAUAUGUAAAGCAGUCUCAACCUCACGUUCUUGUCACACAUCUCAAUGUGCAAAAACAAUGAUGCAGCGUCAUAAUGUAAAACGUCAAAACUCUGUCAGUCUGUUCCUUCGAACGUGAACCACGUCACAGGAGACAUGUAGAGCAGUUACACAUGAAAAUGAAAUCAUAUAUUUUAUUCUCUAAACAGACUAACAGAUUAACAGAACAAACAUUGUUUAACGUGUGCUGAAACUAUGAUGCAGGUUUGGGUUUAUUAUAAAACCAGGAGAUAACAAAAUAUACUCGUACAUUUAGUGUUGUAGCUACUUUAUGUGUGUGUGAUUCCAUUUUGUGAAACCCAAUAAGUUUUCAUUUCAGAGGAAAAUAUUAUUCUUUUUACUCCCGUACAUUAACAGCUGUGUUGUCAUUAGAAACCUUGAAAACUAAUAAUGUUACAUGCAAAAUAGAAAUAAGAUACAUUUUUAAGAAGUUAGAUUAGCAAUUGUGAUGCAAAAAUGUGUAGUAUUCAAAAAACCUUUUCUUUUCAUGUGUUCAGUGAUGCAAAUCUUGACUAUAUGUACUUUUCAGCCUUCCCUGUGCUUCAUUUAUAUUGCUUGCUUAAACAUGUCUUGAAUGAUAAGGCCUGGGACCUCUAGAAUGACAUGAACAAACCUUUCUCAUUUGUUGUAUUUUAAGUAAAGGCAAGUAACGAGUCUGUGUUUUCUUCGACAUUAUUUUUCUCUUUCUGUUUAAGAUGUUUUUAAAUACUCUGAGGAUUAGCGAAUAGCUGAUAUCUGUUAAGACAUAGUUCCACAUUUGAAGGAGUCGUGUUAUUUCCUGUCUUUAGAGAGUGAGGUGACAGGAGCUUAAAUUAAAACACAAUUUAGCUGGCUUUAGUUUAAGGCUACAAACAUCAAGCACAUCUAUAAACGGAAAAGCUUUCUGAAGGUCAUUUGCUGCUUUUUGUUUGUGUUUUCUAAUUUUCAGUCUUAUAAGCAGCUUGUUACAAAAACACAUAUUUUCCCUUCUUUAGUCAAAUCUACAAAAAAUACCAAAGAUAAAAAGGUUUGAUGGAUGUAACAUUGUAUUUUUAUACCUGCAAAGGGAUUUCUACAGCGCUGGACAAAAACUUCUUAGAACCUAACUGGUGAUGUGUUUAUUAAAGUAUGCUGGCAUGUAUACCAACACACAGAGGGUGGAUCUGAGUAGAUACACUAACCCAGAGCUAUGUACAACAAUGCUAUUUAUACAGGACACAAAAAGCAAGAGUGGAGCAACUUAGAAGAGUGGAAGGGACGCUAAUUAUAUGCAAAGAACAAAAGGUAAGUGAAAAAGUGUCCGGGCAAUGACCAUGAGGUAUGCUGAGUGAGGUGGGAUAGAAGUCCUCUCAUUACAUCUGAGAGAGAGACAACAGGACUUAAUAUCCAGGUAAUAGAGCGCUAUAACAUCUAUCUGCAUGUGAUCAUGACAACAGUUAAUCCUGCUCAAAUCUAAUCACAGUAUUGUUAAGAAAUAAAGAAUAAAUAUGAUGAGUAAGAAAA